rnacentral:rRNA from 1 species
GAUGAACGCUGGCGGCGUGCCUAAUACAUGCAAGUCGAACGCAUUGAGAGAAGUGCUUGCACUUUUCAAUUUGAGUGGCGAACGGGUGAGUAACACGUGGGCAACCUACCUGAUAGCGGGGGAUAACGAGUGGAAACAUUCGCUAAUACCGCAUAACAAGAGAGAAGGCAUCUUCUUUAUUUAAAAGGCGCUUUCAAGCGUCACUACCAAAUGGGCCAGCGGUGCAUUAGUUAGUUGGUGGGGUGAAGGCCUACCAAGACGAUGAUGCAUAGCCGAGUUGAGAGACUGAUCGGCCACAUUGGGACUGAGACACGGCCCAAACUCCUACGGGAGGCUGCAGUAGGGAAUCUUCCACAAUGGACGAAAGUCUGAUGGAGCAACGCCGCGUGUGUGAUGAAGGCUCUCGGGUCGUAAAGCACUGUUGUAUGGGAAGAAAUGCUAGGCUAGGAAAUGAGCUUAGUUUGACGGUACCAUACCAGAAAGGGACGGCUAAAUACGUGCCAGCAGCCGCAGUAA